AACGCUGGCGGCGUGCCUAAUACAUGCAAGUCGAGCGGACAGAUGGGAGCUUGCUCCCUGAUGUUAGCGGCGGACGGGUGAGUAACACGUGGGUAACCUGCCUGUAAGACUGGGAUAACUCCGGGAAACCGGGGCUAAUACCGGAUGGUUGUUUGAACCGCAUGGUUCAAACAUAAAAGGUGGCUUCGGCUACCACUUACAGAUGGACCCGCGGCGCAUUAGCUAGUUGGUGAGGUAACGGCUCACCAAGGCGACGAUGCGUAGCCGACCUGAGAGGGUGAUCGGCCACACUGGGACUGAGACACGGCCCAGACUCCUACGGGAGGCAGCAGUAGGGAAUCUUCCGCAAUGGACGAAAGUCUGACGGAGCAACGCCGCGUGAGUGAUGAAGGUUUUCGGAUCGUAAAGCUCUG
rnacentral:rRNA from 1 species